CUACGGGUGGCUCCAGUGGGGAAUUUUGCGCAAUGGAGGAAACUCUGACGCAGCAAUACCGCGUGAGUGAAGAAGGCCCUUGGGUCGUAAAGCUCUUUUAUAAGGGAAGAUAGUGACGGUACCUUAUGAAUAAGCACCGGCUAACUCCGUGCCAGCAGCCGCGGUAAUACGGAGGGUGCAAGCGUUGUUCGGAUUCACUGGGCGUAAAGGGCGCGUAGGCGGCAUCAUAAGUUAAGGGUGAAAUCCCGGGGCUCAACCCCGGAACUGCUCUUAAAACUGUGGAGCUAGAGAUAGUCAGAGGCGGGUGGAAUUCCUAGUGUAGAGGUGAAAUUCGUAGAUAUUAGGAGGAACACCGGUGGCGAAGGCGGCCCGCUGGGGCUUAUCUGACGCUAAGGCGCGAAAGCGUGGGGAGCAAACGGGAUUAGAUACCCUCGUAGUC
rnacentral:rRNA from 1 species